rnacentral:rRNA from 1 species
UACGAAGGGGGCUAGCGUUGCUCGGAAUCACUGGGCGUAAAGGGUGCGUAGGCGGGUCUUUAAGUCAGACGUGAAAUCCCCCGGCUUAACCUGGGAACUGCGUCUGAUACUGGAGGGCUUGAGUAUGGGAGAGGGAUGUAGAAUUCCAGGUGUAGCGGUGAAAUGCGUAGAUAUCUGGAGGAAUACCGGUGGCGAAGGCGGCAUCCUGGACCAUUACUGACGCUGAGGCGCGAAAGCUAGGGGAGCAAACGGG